rnacentral:rRNA from 1 species
GACGAACGCUGGCGGCGUGCCUAACACAUGCAAGUCGAGCGAGUGAAUCUCCUUCGGGAGUGAAGCUAGCGGCGGACUGGUGGGUAACACGUGGGCAACCUGCCUCAUAGAGGGGAAUAGCCUUCCGAAAGGAAGAUUAAUACCGCAUAAGAUUGUAGCUUCGCAUGAAGUAGCAAUUAAAGGAGCAAUCCGCUAUGAGAUGGGCCCGCGGCGCAUUAGCUAGUUGGUGAGGUAACGGCUCACCAAGGCGACGAUGCGUAGCCGACCUGAGAGGGUGAUCGGCCACGUUGGGACGGAGACACGGCCCAGACUCCUACGGGAGGCAGCAGUGGGGAAUAUUUCACAAUGGGGGAAACCCUGAUGCAGCAACGCCGCGUGAGUGAUGACGGCCUUCGGGUUGUAAAGAUCUGUCUUCAGGGACGAUAAUGACGGUACCUGAGGAGGAAGCCACGGCUAACUACGUGCCAGCAGCCGCUGUAACAC